GACUCCUACGGGAGGCAGCAGUGGGGAAUAUUGGACAAUGGGCGGAAGCCUGAUCCAGCCAUGCCGCGUGUGUGAAGAAGGCUUUCGGGUUGUAAAGCACUUUCAGUGGGGAAGAAGGCUUGCCGGUCAAUACCCGGUAAGAAGGACAUCACCCACAGAAGAAGCACCGGCUAACUCCGUGCCAGCAGCCGCGGUAAUACGGAGGGUGCGAGCGUUAAUCGGAAUUACUGGGCGUAAAGCGCGCGUAGGUGGCGUGAUAAGCCGGUUGUGAAAGCCCCGGGCUCAACCUGGGAACGGCAUCCGGAACUGUCAGGCUAGAGUGCAGGAGAGGAAGGUAGAAUUCCCGGUGUAGCGGUGAAAUGCGUAGAGAUCGGGAGGAAUACCAGUGGCGAAGGCGGCCUUCUGGACUGACACUGACACUGAGGUGCGAAAGCGUGGGUAGCAAACAGGAUUAGAUACCCUGGUAGUCCACGCCGUAAACGAUGUCGACUAGCCGUUGGGUUCCUUGAGAACUUAGUGGCGCAGUUAACGCGAUAAGUCGACCGCCUGGGGAGUACGGCCGCAAGGUUAAAACUCAAAUGAAUUGACGGGG
rnacentral:rRNA from 1 species